AGCAGCCGCGGUAAUUCCAGCUCCAAUAGCGUAUAUUAAAGUUGUUGCAGUUAAAAAGCUCGUAGUUGAAUUUCGGGAUCAAUAUGCUGGUCGUGCCAUUGGUACGUACUAGUAUUAUUGGUUUCUCCUUUCUGAUGAAUCAUGAUGUCAUUAAUUUGAUGUCAUGAGGAAUCAGGACUGUUACUUUGAAAAAAUUAGAGUGUUUAAAGCAGGCUCGCGCUUGAAUACAUUAGCAUGGAAUAAUGAAAUAGGAUGUUUGAUUCUAUUUUGUUGGUUUCUAGGAUUGACGUAAUGAUUAAUAGGGAUAGUUGGGGGCAUUAGUAUUCAAUUGUCAGAGGUGAAAUUCUUGGAUUUAUUGAAGACUAACUACUGCGAAAGCAUUUGCCAAGGAUGUUUUCAUUAAUCAAGAACGAAAGUUAGGGGAUCGAAGACGAUCAGAUACCGUCGUAGUCUUAACCAUAAACUAUGCCGACUAGGGAUCGGAUGAUGUUAAUUUUUUUAAUGACUCAUUCGGCGCCUU
rnacentral:misc_RNA from 1 species